rnacentral:tRNA from 2 species
CGUGGGACGGAAGGAUUCGAACCUUCGUAAUGACGGGACCAAAACCCGUUGCCUUACCGCUUGGCGACGCCC